AUUGAACGCUGGCGGCAGGCCUAACACAUGCAAGUCGAGCGGAUGAGUGGAGCUUGCUCCAUGAUUCAGCGGCGGACGGGUGAGUAAUGCCUAGGAAUCUGCCUGGUAGUGGGGGACAACGUUUCGAAAGGAACGCUAAUACCGCAUACGUCCUACGGGAGAAAGUGGGGGAUCUUCGGACCUCACGCUAUCAGAUGAGCCUAGGUCGGAUUAGCUAGUUGGUGAGGUAAAGGCUCACCAAGGCGACGAUCCGUAACUGGUCUGAGAGGAUGAUCAGUCACACUGGAACUGAGACACGGUCCAGACUCCUACGGGAGGCAGCAGUGGGGAAUAUUGGACAAUGGGCGAAAGCCUGAUCCAGCCAUGCCGCGUGUGUGAAGAAGGUCUUCGGAUUGUAAAGCACUUUAAGUUGGGAGGAAGGGCAGUAAGUUAAUACCUUGCUGUUUUGACGUUACCAACAGAAUAAGCACCGGCUAACUUCGUGCCAGCAGCCGCGGUAAUACGAAGGGUGCAAGCGUUAAUCGGAAUUACUGGGCGUAAAGCGCGCGUAGGUGGUUCGUUAAGUUGGAUGUGAAAGCCCCGGGCUCAACCUGGGAACUGCAUCCAAAACUGGCGAGCUAGAGUAUGGCAGANGGUGGUGGAAUUUCCUGUGUAGCGGUGAAAUGCGUAGAUAUAGGAAGGAACACCAGUGGCGAAGCGACCACCUGGGCUAAUACUGACACUGAGGUGCGAAAGCGUGGGGAGCAAACAGGAUUAGACACCCUGGUAGUCCACGCCGUAAAC
rnacentral:rRNA from 1 species